GAAAGCCGGAGGCCACGUGUUCAUGCUGAAUUUACGAAGAUUCUCUUGCCAGGGGAUAUAACGCAAUGAAAAUGUUGUGAUUGUAGGUCAAAACGAAAUCGUUUUGAAUUGGGCCUAUUCUUUAGAAUUUCUCGGCCCAUGUUCAAAAGGAGAAACUAUUAAUGGUUCGUGGAGGCUGCGUUUUCUCGUAAUUUAUUUUACUUCCCAUCGGCACGAAACGAGGGAAUUUGCAGCAGAGGAGGGAGGGAAUUUGUUUCUCUCUCGAAUUCGAUGCACUGAUCCCAGUAUAUACGUAUACAUGCGUACGCAUACCUAUCGUGAAUUUCUCUAUUAUCAGGUGGUUUAUGCAUUGGGAGUUAGGGUUUUAGGCUUUACUUUCUUGGAUUGAAUUUUUCAAGUGGGAUAUAUCAGAGGAAGAAGAUGUUCUCUGUUCUUGUUUAACUUUAACAAUCGAGUUUAAAAUUAGUGUUUCUUUCCUUUCAAUUUCAAUCUUAGCU
rnacentral:misc_RNA from 1 species